AAGAAUAUGCGUCGUGACAUGGCAUACAUGCGACACGUAUCACGGCUACUCCUGACUCCCUGUGCGAUCCGGCUCUUGCUGCUGUACCAGUGGCAGCAGCUGGCCGCUCUCUGUGCCAGGCCUGUGCACCUGCGUUUCCUCUUUGCACCUCAUGGCACCUAUCUAUGACACAUUAUUGUUCUUCGCUCCUACAUUACCGAGGAGUCUGACAUGACUGACUUUCCCAUGGCCACACAACUCAAGAGUGGCUGUUCCAGGAUCAAACCUGGGUGGCCUGAAGCCAGAGCCCAGUUCUCAGCCAACUCCCUGUCCUCUGUCCUUCAAACCAGGGUACCUGCCAACUGUCAUAAAAAGGAAGGCCUUAUGCUUUGCAGGCCACUAUCUGUUGUCUUUUAUUCUUUAUUUCAAAAACUCCUUAAAAGUAGAAAAUUCUCAUCUCAAGGAUCAGCCAUCCAGGUUUGGUUGGUCCACAGUGUCCUCUGUGAGCAUCUGAGGUCGCCUUUCAGAGCCUCGAGUCUACCUUGUGGCAUUGGAGCUGAGUGGUGGCUGCCCCUUGGAGUUCACAGUCAAUAGAGCUCUCACCUCCAGGUAUACAAUGACUGGCCUGUUUCUUUUUGUUGUGACCUGAGUGUAUUACAAAGCAAGAGAAGAGUGUGUGAACAUUAGCCACAGGAAAGGCUGGCCCGAGAUGUCUUGGUGUCUUCUAUUCAGGCUCCGUGGAAGAGCAGAAAGAAUUGGUGGCUCACUUCCAGCUGGACACUGAGGGACUUGUUACAGACCCACUCCAGGAAGGUCAAGAGAGAAACCUGGGCCCGGGGCCGGGGGACUCCACAUGCGGCCGCAGUGACGUUGUCAAGUGCGCAUCUGCCAGUGGCUAGGACUUGGCUUGUUCAGAGCUUCUGGGCAGGAAGGCUUGGCGAGCCUGUGUUUGUGAGUGGGGAGGGAUUUCUGGCCCUGCCUGUUCCUUUACCAGUUUAGAGACAGUAAGCAUACAUCCCACCGGGUGGUUCACCUGGCCCUGCCGGAUCCCAUCCCCAAGCUCCUUCCCCUUCUUCCUGGCUGUGCCUGCUUCUCUCGGCCCAGCUAGGGCCUCUGGGCCCUCCCAGUACGCCACCCCACCCAGAAGCCUCUAGACAAUCCCCAUUGAAACUGCCCCCCCUAACUUUGCCCUCCCUACAGCAUUCUCACCAUCUGUGCUGCCUACACUGAUCGAGAUAGUAGAUGCUACUUCUGUUUGCUCUUUGCUCAGCGUUGCCCCCCCUCCGGGUUCCCCUGGGCCUCCACUUGUAGGCGUUUCGUGUCUGCUUUGUGGUGGUUUGUGGAGGAAGAGGCUCGGUGGAGGGCAGGUGCUUCCCUUGCAGCGUAGGCAAGAACAGGGUGGUGCUUACUGAUUGUCAGUUUUCUGAGAAGACAGGUCAUCCCUCUUCAGCCCGACUUGCCACUAAGCCCCAUGCUCUUGACAUUGGCCCCUUUUCCUCCUGUUAUCAUAUGUUGCUGUACAUGUGUGUCGCUGUCAUGGACAUCAAGGUCACAAGCAUCUAUGGCCUCCCUCUGGUCUGGCCCAGCAACUUCCCCCAUCCCUGUCCCCCAAGGCUGAGCAGCCCAGGGGUAACACUCAGCUCUUGUCCACGGCUCAGCCAUGCGCCCAGCACGUUGUCCUGGCACUCUGGGGCUGGGGGUGCCCAGGAGAGAGCUGACACAGGAAGGAGUCAGAAUGACAGAAAUGAAGCAAACAGCAGUGAUUUCAGUUGGUGCUAAACUCCCAAAAGAAAAUAACCAGGAUACUCUGAUGGAGGUGCGGGGUGCAAAGAGCCACUGCAGACCUAAAAGGGGUUCCAGGCAGCAGGCAUGGCAGAUGCAAGGGCCCUGUGGUCGGAAUGAGAUCAGCACGGCAAAGAGCCUGAGAAGAGGCCACAGUGUGGUUGCAGCAGAGUAACGGAGCACAACAGGGCCAGGGGUCAGAGGCGAGGUCUGGCAUUCUGAGUGAGAACUGGGAAGUGCAUUCCAACUUCACAGAGGAAGCUGUUGGUCCACCUGAUGCGAGAUCUGCACUCUCAGAGGACCCUUGGGGUUGCAGACAGCAAAGGGCCGAAGCAGGAGCCAGCCCAGAGAUGGACUGGAGGGGCGGUGGUUUCCUUUGCUGCCAGGGACCAUAGCAGCUCCUCUAUGCAGUGCUACUAGAGGCCCGCUGGCUCUGUCCUUCGGAAAAGUCCAACCUCUGGCCUUAGAGAGUGUCAGGCUGGGAGCGGACGGGAAGAGGGGAAAGUAGAAAAAGCUGUGAACUCUGCAGGUCUGUCUGAUUGGGAGACGGUGUCCGCUUCUGGCGACAUUCUGAUUGCCACGGGGACAAGGGUGCCUGGUCCCUUUUCUCACUAUCUACUACAUUGUGUGACAGUUAGUUUAAAAAUCUAUCAUAUAACCACUACUUGUUCCCUUGCCUAAUUGUUUUUAAUCCACUGUACAUUU